rnacentral:rRNA from 1 species
AUUGAACGCUGGCGGCAGGCCUAACACAUGCAAGUCGAGCGGAGCGGCGGACGGGUGAGUAAUGCCUAGGAAUCUGCCUGGUACUGGGGGAUAACGUCCGGAAACGGGCCCUAAUACCGCAUAAUUUCAGACGAGACUAGGUCGGACUAGCUAUCUGGUGGGGGAAAGGGCUACCAAGGCGUCGAGCCGUAACUGGUCUGAGAUGAUGAUAAGUCACACGGGAACUGAGACACGGUCCAGACUCCUACGGGAGGCAGCAGUGGGGAAUAUUGUACAAUGGGCGAAAGCCGGAUGUAGCCAUGCCGCGUGUAUGAAGAAGGUCUUCGGAUUGUAAAGCACUUUAAGAUGGGAGGCGUUACCAGCAGAAUAAGCACCGGCUAACUUCGUGCCAGCAGCCGCGGUAAUAC